rnacentral:rRNA from 1 species
UACGAAGGGGGCUAGCGUUGCUCGGAAUCACUGGGCGUAAAGCGCACGUAGGUGGAUUGUUAAGUCAGGGGUGAAAUCCUGGAGCUCAACUCCAGAACUGCCUUUGAUACUGGCGAUCUUGAGUCCGGGAGAGGUGAGUGGAACUGCGAGUGUAGAGGUGAAAUUCGUAGAUAUUCGCAAGAACACCAGUGGCGAAGGCGGCUCACUGGCCCGGUACUGACGCUGAGGUGCGAAAGCGUGGGGAGCAAACAGG